UACGUAGGCGGAAUAUUAAGUCAGUGGUGAAAUCCUGCGGCUCAACCGUAGAACUGCCAUUGAUACUGAUAUUCUUGAAUAUAGUUGAGGUAGGCGGAAUGUGUAAUGUAGCGGUGAAAUGCUUAGAUAUUACACAGAACACCGAUUGCGAAGGCAGCUUGCUAAACUAUUAUUGACGCUGAGGCACGAAAGCGUGGGGAGCGAACAGGAUUAGAUACCCUGGUAGUCC
rnacentral:rRNA from 1 species